AACACACUGUUAAUAUGCCUUAAUUUCUUCCCAGUUGACAGAGCUUUACGACCCAAGGGCCUUCUUCACUCACGCGGCGUUGCUGCGUCAGGGUUUCCCCCAUUGCGCAAAAUUCCUC
rnacentral:rRNA from 1 species